UUACAGGGUCAGUCAUAGUAGUAUGAUAGGUGUUGUUUUACAGGGUCAGUCAUAGUAGUAUGAUAGGUGUUGUUUUACAGGGUCAGUCAUAGUAGUAUGAUAGGUGUUGUUUUACAGGGUCAGUCAUAGUAGUAUGAUAGGUGUUGUUUUACAGGGUCAGUCAUAGUAGUGUGAUAGGUGUUGUUUUACAGGGUCAGUCAUAGUAGCAUGAUAGGUGUUGUUUUACAGGGUCAUAGUAGUAUGAUAGGUGUUGUUUUACAGGGUCAGUCAUAGUAGUAUGAUAGGUGUUGUUGUACAGGGUCAGUCAUAGUAGUAUGAUAGGUGUUGUUUUACAGGGUCAGUCAUAGUAGUACGAUAGGUGUUGUUGUACAGGGUCAGUCAUAGUAGUAUGAUAGGUGUUGUUUACAGGGUCAGUCAUAGUAGUAUGAUAGGUGUUGUUUACAGGGUCAGUCAUAGUAGUAUGAUAGGUGUUGUUUACAGGGUCAGUCAUAGUAGUAUGAUAGGUGUUGUUUUACAGGGUCAGUCAUAGUAGUAUGAUAGGUGUUGUUUUACAGGGUCAGUCAUAGUAGUAUGAUAGGUGUUGUUUUACAGGGUCAGUCAUAGUAGUGUGAUAGGUGUUGUUUUACAGGGUCAGUCAUAGUAGUAUGAUAGGUGUUGUUUUACAGGGUCAGUCCCAGUAGUAUGAUAGGUGUUGUUUUACAGGGUCAGUCAUAGUAGUAUGAUAGGUGUUGUUUUACAGGGUCAGCCAUAGUAGUAUGAUAGGUGUUGUUUUACAGGGUCAGUCAUAGUAGUGUGAUAGGUGUUG